rnacentral:rRNA from 1 species
GUUUGAUCCUGGCUCAGGAUGAACGCUAGCGGCAGGCUUAAUACAUGCAAGUCGAACGGGAUUCGGGGUAGCAAUACUUUGAUGAGAGUGGCGCACGGGUGCGUAACGCGUAUGCAACCUACCUUUAACAGGGGAAUAGCCCCGAGAAAUCGGGAUUAAUACUCCGUAACAUUGCGGUGUGGCAUCACACUGCAAUUAAAGAUUUAUCGGUUAAAGAUGGGCAUGCGUGACAUUAGCUAGUUGGUGAGGUAACGGCUCACCAAGGCAACGAUGUCUAGGGGUCCUGAGAGGGUUAUCCCCCACACUGGUACUGAGACACGGACCAGACUCCUACGGGAGGCAGCAGUAAGGAAUAUUGGUCAAUGGGCGCAAGCCUGAACCAGCCAUGCCGCGUGCAGGAAGACGGCCCUAUGGGUUGUAAACUGCUUUUAUCAGGGAAUAAACCCCCGCUCGUGAGCGGGGCUGAAGGUACCUGAAGAAUAAGCAUCGGCUAACUCCGUGCCAGCAGCCGCGGUAAUACGGAGGAUGCAAGCGUUAUCCGGAUUCAUUGGGUUUAAAGGGUGCGCAGGCGGAUUGGUAAGUCAGGGGUGAAAUCCCACAGCUCAACUGUGGAACUGCCUUUGAUACUGUCAGUCUAGAGUAUAGUUGAAGUUGGCGGAAUGUGUCAUGUAGCGGUGAAAUGCUUAGAUAUGACACAGAACACCGAUCGCGAAGGCAGCUAGCUAAGCUAUAACUGACGCUCAUGCACGAAAGCGUGGGGAUCAAACAGGAUUAGAUACCCUGGUAGUCCACGCUGUAAACGAUGAUUACUCGAUGUUGGCGAUACACAGUCAGCGUCUGAGCGAAAGCAAUAAGUAAUCCACCUGGGGGAGUACGAUCGCAAGAUUGAAACUCAAAGGAAUUGACGGGGGCCCGCACAAGCGGAGGAGC